UACGAAGGGUGCAAGCGUUAUUCGGAAUCAUUGGGCGUAAAGCGCGCGCAGGCGGAUUGAUAAGUCAGGUGUGAAAUCUCGAGGCUCAACCUCGAAACUGCGCCUGAAACUAUUAGUCUAGAGUGUCGGAGGGGGCAGGGGAAUUUCACGUGUAGGGGUAAAAUCCGUAGAGAUGUGAAGGAACACCGGAGGCGAAGGCGCCUGCCUGGACGACUACUGACGCUGAGGCGCGAAAGCGUGGGGAGCAAACAGG
rnacentral:rRNA from 2 species